UGCCUAAACCUGGGAGGUUAUCUCCAGGCAUGGCGUAAAAACCCGUCUAAGGCGGAGAGCUCGUCGUCAGAGCACCUUAGACGGGUCACGUCGGGAAACCGGCGUGGGUGGUCACAAGGCCAUC
rnacentral:sRNA from 12 species